AACGAACGCUGGCGGCAGGCUUAACACAUGCAAGUCGAGCGCCCCGCAAGGGGAGCGGCAGACGGGUGAGUAACGCGUGGGAAUCUACCCAUCUCUACGGAAUAACGCGUGGAAACGUGUGCUAAUACCAUAUACGUCCUUCGGGAGAAAGAUUUAUCGGAGAUGGAUGAGCCCGCGUUGGAUUAGCUAGUUGGUGGGGUAAAGGCCUACCAAGGCGACGAUCCAUAGCUGGUCUGAGAGGAUGAUCAGCCACACUGGGACUGAGACACGGCCCAGACUCCUACGGGAGGCAGCAGUGGGGAAUAUUGGACAAUGGGCGCAAGCCUGAUCCAGCCAUGCCGCGUGAGUGAUGAAGGCCCUAGGGUUGUAAAGCUCUUUCACCGGUGAAGAUAAUGACGGUAACCGGAGAAGAAGCCCCGGCUAACUUCGUGCCAGCCGCCGCAGUAACAC
rnacentral:rRNA from 1 species